AUUCGUCGUGCAAGUUUCAAACAAUAGACACUCCAAGGAGAAUGUAAACUAUGCCGUCCAGUCGGAGCGCUGAGAAGGCGUGGCUUCGGGCCGCGGGCCAGUUCUUUGCGAAACCCGGCCCAAAAAUGCCCUGCCCAAGAACCACAUGCGACUUACGGAGGUUGUAAACAAAAGUGAAUGUGAAGCGGGAGGAAUGCUGCCCCUGGAAUUCAGCCUGAAAGAUGUUGUGUGAACUCCUUUUCUCUUCAUUAUGGUUCCUUUUUGUCAUCUUCUGGGUGGAGACCAUCAGUGUGUGGCUGUUCCUCUCCAUGUUCUAUCAAGACAGGGCCUUGUACAAUUGGGGGGAGGGGGGAUUCACAGAUGAUUCAGGAGAGAUGGCCUACAUGCUGCAAAGAAUCGAUGAACACAUCCGGAGAGAGAUGCAGAUCUGAAGCGGGAGACGAAGAAAUACUGGCAGUCAAUGCAGUAGAUGUUUUAAGGAGCACCCUCGAGACGCUGUGACAUCACAUGCCACCACGAUUAUGAGUCAGAUCCACAGUUAGGAAUCACACUAACCUGCGUAGCACCUUCUAUUUAAAUUGCUCCUAUUUUAUUCAGUCAUGAAAUUGACGUCCGUAAACUUUCUUUUCAACAGGUUCAGACUCUUAGUGUGGUGUUUCAAUCAUACUCUAACUCGAUCUCAUUUGAUCUUGAGACCAUUUUUAACAAUCACAAACAAAGAUCUGUUUGAUGUGAAAAACCAGGAGAC